GAGGGUACAGCUCAGUGGUAGAGCACAUGCUUAGCAUGCACAAGGUCCCGGGUUCAACCCCCAGUACCUCCA
rnacentral:tRNA from 1 species